GCGAACGCUGGCGGCGUGCCUAACACAUGCAAGUCGCACGAGAAAGGGGCCGCAAGGCCCCCGGUACAGUGGCGAACGGGUGAGUAACACGUGGGUAACCUGCCCCCGGGUUCGGAAUAACCUGCCGAAAGGCGGGCUAAUACCGAAUGACGACGCAGGGUCUUCGGACCUUGCGUACAAAGCUGACCUCUUCAUGAAAGUUGGCGCCUGGGGAGGGGCUCGCGUCCCAUUAGCUUGUUGGUGAGGUAACGGCUCACCAAGGCUACGAUGGGUAGCCGGCCUGAGAGGGCGACCGGCCACAGUGGAACUGAGACACGGUCCACACUCCUACGGGAGGCAGCAGUGAGGAAUCUUGCGCAAUGGGCGAAAGCCUGACGCAGCGACGCCGCGUGGACGAUGAAGGCCUUCGGGUCGUAAAGUCCUGUCGGGUGGGAAGAAUUGGUC
rnacentral:rRNA from 1 species